UACGGGGGGAGCAAGCGUUGUUCGGAUUUACUGGGCGUAAAGGGCGCGUAGGCGGCCACCGCAAGUCGACUGUGAAAGCUCUCGGCUAAACCGGGAGAGGUCGUUGGAUACUGGCGAACUAGAGGAUGGUAGAGGCGUGUGGAAUUCCGGGUGUAGUGGUGAAAUGCGUAGAGAUCCGGAGGAACACCAGUGGCGAAGGCGACACGCUGGGCCAUACCUGACGCUAAAGCGCGACAGCAUGGGGAGCAAACGGG
rnacentral:rRNA from 1 species